GGUGGCUCAGUGGUAGAGUGCUUGCCUCACAUGCCUGAGGCCCUGGGUUUGAUUCUCAGCACCA
rnacentral:tRNA from 1 species